rnacentral:rRNA from 6 species
AAACUUUUAACAACGGAUCUCUUGGCUCUGGCAUCGAUGAAGAACGCAGCGAAAUGCGAUAAGUAAUGUGAAUUGCAGAAUUCAGUGAAUCAUCGAAUCUUUGAACGCACAUUGCGCCCGCGAGUAUUCUCGCGGGCAUGCCUGUCCGAGCGUCAUU